GUCGAGCGGAAUGAUGAAGAAGCUUGCUUCUUCUGAUUUUAGCGGCGGACGGGUGAGUAACACGUGGGCAACCUACCUUGUAGAUUGGGAUAACUCCGGGAAACCGGGGCUAAUACCGAAUAAUCCAUUUUGCUUCAUGGCGAAAUGUUGAAAGGCGGCUUCGGCUGUCACUACGAGAUGGGCCCGCGGCGUAUUAGCUAGUUGGUAGGGUAAUGGCCUACCAAGGCGACGAUACGUAGCCGACCUGAGAGGGUGAUCGGCCACACUGGGACUGAGACACGGCCCAGACUCCUACGGGAGGCAGCAGUAGGGAAUCUUCCACAAUGGACGAAAGUCUGAUGGAGCAACGCCGCGUGAGUGAAGAAGGUUUUCGGAUCGUAAAACUCUGUUGUAAGGGAAGAACACGUACGAGAGUAACUGCUCGUACCUUGACGGUACCUUAUUAGAAAGCCACGGCUAACUACGUGCCAGCAGCCGCGGUAAUACGUAGGUGGCAAGCGUUGUCCGGAAUUAUUGGGCGUAAAGCGCGCGCAGGCGGUUCUUUAAGUCUGAUGUGAAAGCCCACGGCUCAACCGUGGAGGGUCAUUGGAAACUGGAGAACUUGAGUACAGAAGAGGAAAGCGGAAUUCCACGUGUAGCGGUGAAAUGCGUAGAGAUGUGGAGGAACACCAGUGGCGAAGGCGGCUUUCUGGUCUGUAACUGACGCUGAGGCGCGAAAGCGUGGGGAGCAAACAGGAUUAGAUACCCUG
rnacentral:rRNA from 1 species